rnacentral:lncRNA from 1 species
AACUUUAAAAACUCUUCAAAGCAUACUGUUCUCGAGGGAGAUCAAAUGGUGGUCGACUAAGUUUGAAGCAAUUUCAUUCUGAUGGACUAAGAGGGAGGCAAACAAAGUAGCAGAUCAGUUACCAACUACUAGGCCUUUAGACAAUUCUUUUAAAUUUCAUUACCAUGUAUCACAAUAUAACACUAAUCUUCUUAAUGAAGAUCAUGCAUGUGCUCUUGACUGCAUAUAGUAAUAAUAAACAUAGAGGUUAUAAAAAAUAAAAUUUAUAUUUUUCAAUUUGUGAUAUUAAUACAAGAUUGUAGAAUGUUUUUAUUGGAGAUAAAAAAAAAAUGAAAAUGAUGUUUUUGGAUCAUAAUGUUGGACUGAAGAUAUACUCAAUAUAUCAGUAAUCGUCUUCUGAAGAUCAUGCAUGUGCUCUCGACUGCAUAGUAAUAAUAAACAUAGAGGUUAUAAAAAAAUAAAAUUUAUAUUUUUUAAUUUGUGAUAUUAAUAGAAUGUUUUUACUGGAGAUAAAAAAAAGAAGGAAAAUGCUGUUUUUGGAUCAUAAUUUUGGACUGAAGAUAUACUCAAAAUUCACAUAAUCCUUAAACUGAUACAUUAGUGCUUAAUAUUGUAACCAAAAUAUAAAAUAAAAGAUUAAGUUAGAAAGUAUAUAAAAUUUUAUUUUUAAUAACAAUGUCGAUAACCUGAUUAGUAUUUUGAAAAGAUAGUAAUUGUAAAAAAAUGAAAUUUAAUAAUAAAAAUUAAAUAAGUUGUGCAUAUCUAUUUAGAAUAUCUUAAUUAUCUUUGUACACUGAGUUUUAAUCCAUAACUAUAUUUUAACUAUAAUUAAUGACUUCAAAAGGGUAAAACUCUAACACAAGAUUGUCUUGCUUUGCAUUACUCUGUUUUGUCAUUUUCAUUUUACACAAAUGUGUUGCUUUUAAUUUCUCUAUUCUUACUCUUGAAUUACAGGUUAAGAUGAUGAACAUGGAUGUAGAGUUUAUAGCAAAUAUAACUUUAAAAACUCUUCAAAGCAUACUGUUCUCGAGGGAGAUCAAAUGGUGGUCGACUAAGUUUGAAGCAAUUUCAUUCUGAUGGACUAAGAGGGAGGCAAACAAAGUAGCAGAUCAGUUACCAACUACUAGGCCUUUAGACAAUUCUUUUAAAUUUCAUUACCAUGUAUCACAAUAUAACACUAAUCUUCUUAAUGAAGAUCAUGCAUGUGCUCUUGACUGCAUAUAGUAAUAAUAAACAUAGAGG